rnacentral:tRNA from 1 species
GGGGGUGUAGCUCAGUUGGUCAGAGCAGCGGACUUUUAAUCCGAAGGUCCUGGGUUCGAGGCCCAGCGCCCCCACCA